GCAUUGAGUGUGGUCAAGCUAUGUAGACCCUUAGGAACUUGUCAUGCGGUUAAAUUCAAGAUUCACUUGCACAUUCACUCAUACAUGCUGCUUCUACUCCGAAAGUACGCAUCCACAUACAUCCACUCAUUUCCCUCUCCAGAUUCACCCAAAAUUAUUCUACUCCUAUCCGGAAGAGAAUAGCCAAAAACAUUAUCCCCUUCCUGCUUUUCCCAGUGAAAUAAAUGCUCGAGAUAUUUUGGUUACUACCACUUGCUACAUUAUUCCAGGAGGGUGAGUGCUCUGAAAAAAAUACGAGGAAAUAAAAAGGGGCAAGUGCCGGAACCUCGAAGAAAAGAAAAAGUGAGACGAGAGGUAAAAAUGGACAAGUGUCCGACAGUAGAAUUAGGGAUACAAGAUACCCACCUGAGAGAAAAUAAAAAGAAAAUAUAGAGCAUCUCAAUCUCCUCAAAAAGCUUCAAAGUGCAAGAAAGGUAUGUAUCCCCUCAAAAGAGCAAAAGUAGAAUUAGACUUUCACCAUUGUUUUCACCAUUAUCACCAUCAUCACCAUACACCAUUCAUUCGCCACACAUGCACAUCUUGAUUUGACUUAUUGACUUGUUUCUCUGAAUCCAUGGUUUGACUAUGCAAUAAAUAUCUUGUAAGUAUGUAUUAGCUGUCUCCCACCUAUGAGCUCCAGAUAUCAAAGCCUCAUUAGAGUAGGAUGAGAGAGAUGGCAAUAUCACUAUGCCUCAUACCACAAAUACUACAUACUUUGAGAGAAGGCAUAUAUCAUCACUGCCUUGGUGAGGAUCCAGAAAUACCACAAAAGAGAGAAUUGAGAGAGUCAUACAAGGAAUCUCUGAGUUUUAUUUGAAAAUCUACAAAAACUCCAGAGCUAUAGUUGAUCAAGAACAAGAGACAUGGCGCUUGACUUGACCGUUCUAUCUUUUAACUGCUCAAGACACAAGUGACGGUUGCAAGCCCCA
rnacentral:lncRNA from 1 species